rnacentral:rRNA from 1 species
UACGUAGGUGGCAAGCGUUGUCCGGAUUUACUGGGUGUAAAGGGUGCGCAGGCGGGACUGCAAGUUGGAUGUGAAAUACCGAGGCUUAACCUCGGGGCUGCAUCCAAAACUGUGGUUCUUGAGUGGAGUAGAGGUAAGCGGAAUUCCGAGUGUAGCGGUGAAAUGCGUAGAUAUUCGGAGGAACACCAGUGGCGAAGGCGGCUUACUGGGCUCUAACUGACGCUGAGGCACGAAAGCAUGGGUAGCAAAC